rnacentral:pre_miRNA from 1 species
AAAAAAAACAAACCCUGGUUUCCGUGUCUAACGUUUGACCGUCUGUCUUAUUUAAAAAAAUUAUGAAAAAAUAUUAAAAAGAUAAGUCACGCAUAAAGUAUUAAUCAUGUUUUAUCAUCUAACAACAAUAAAAAUAUUAAUUAUAAAAAAUUUCAUAUAAGACGGACAGUCAAACGUUGGCACGGAAACCCAGGGUUUGCCUUUUU